UUGUGCAUUUGCAUAUAAAAUUAAAGGUAAAUUCUGUGAAUUAAGGUAUUAUUUUUCUAAAGCUAUCCUCUGUGCUAGUCUUUGGGGACUUUGGUCUAUGGCUCAAUCGCUGUACUACCUUCUGAUGUUUUAUCGUUGUCCAGAGAAUAACAGAUCUGUGUGAAGCACACAGCAGAAUCUGAUUCUCACAAUGUUUUCUUUUAUAUAAUUGCAGAUAACAGCUUGGAGCGAAAACGACUUGAUGCUGGAGAGUAUAAGUGAUAGAAGUUACGAGGAGACUCAUCCAGGUUUGGCUAUCCGUCCCAAGCGCUGGACCACAAAAAUAUGGAGAUGGACCAAAAUUUGGCGUGCAGGAAAUAAAGGUAGUCUCAGAAGAAAAAAGAAAACACACACAAAAAAAGAAAAGAAAAAUCAUGCGUAUUCUGGUAAAGUCACUGGACCAGAUUUUGCUGAGGAAAAUCUAGAUGAUAUGCCUGAGGGGUCUUUCUUUCUGACUUUAGUCUAGAGAGCCACCCUGACUCUAGUUUUCUGAGGGGAAUGAGGAUUGGUGGUGUGACAGGAAAAAAAUAUUUUCUAGGCACAGCACUAUGUUCAUGUUUUGACAAGCAGUUGUGUUCCCUCUCGAUGCCAUGUUUGUGUGCAUGGACAGUGGGGUGUGUCUAUAUGUGAAUUUAAGUGGUGUGAUUGUGUGCAUGUCUGUGUUUCCCCUAGAGUUAUAUCUCCCUUACACAGCAAACCUGCAAGUGUCAGCUUCCUCCAUUAAUAAUCCCUUCACCAUUGCUCCCUUGGGCAUAUCUGUCUUCUAGCUGGGUGUACUACAAUUCAGUUCUGAUGAUCACCACACAGUCUGUAUCUGAUCCCACAAGUCCAGGACAAAACCUUCCACCUGACUGCCCUUACUUGAGAUACCAGCUGCACUUUACGGAUGUGCAGGCCACUGUGAAUUCAGAGAUUACCAACACUGCCACCCUAAGACUCAAUAAUUCACUAGAAAUACCUCACAGAACUUAGGAAAACACUACAUUUACUAUUCGCUUAUAAAGGACACACCUAGGGCAAGGUGUAUGGGGGGAAGGUGGCGGGGAGCAGGGUCCUAGAAGCAUAGCUUCCACGCCCUUUCUCCUGGGAGUCACAGGGUGUCUUCCCUUCAGCCCAUCAAUUGUUCACAAACCUGGGAGUUCCACUGAGCUUUGGUGUUCAGGGUUUUUAUUGGACUUUCAUUGUAAGUAGACAUGACUGAUUAAAGACUUGGCUAUAUGACUGAAGUCAGUCUCUAGUCCCCACCCCCACCUUCCUGGAGGUUGGUUGGCCCAAACAACCCUCUCAUAACGUGGUUGGUCUUUCACUCUCAUCCAUAAGCUGUCCAGGGCCCACACUGAGCCCCCUCAUUGGCAUAACAAAGGCAAUCUUAUGCAGGAAAUUUCAAGGGGUUUCAAAAUCUUGUGACAA
rnacentral:lncRNA from 1 species